rnacentral:rRNA from 3 species
UACGAAGGGGGCUAGCGUUGCUCGGAAUUACUGGGCGUAAAGGGCGCGUAGGCGGCACUGUUAGUCAGGCGUGAAAUUCCUGGGCUCAACCUGGGGACUGCGCUUGAUACGGCAGAGCUAGAGGAUGGAAGAGGCUCGCGGAAUUCCCAGUGUAGAGGUGAAAUUCGUAGAUAUUGGGAAGAACACCGGUGGCGAAGGCGGCGAGCUGGUCCAUUACUGACGCUGAGGCGCGACAGCGUGGGGAGCAAACAGG